rnacentral:lncRNA from 1 species
UAAUAACUAACUAUGUUUUUGUUCUUUUUAGCAGUACGUAAUAUUUUACUUGUCCGUGCAUUUAAGUAGUCAAAUUAAUGAAGAACUCUUGGGGAUUGGUAAAGGCCCCAUGAAUCACAAGAUUAGAUUAAAUAAUGAACAGAUGAUAACUUACCUGGGUAGGUUCAUCUGUUGUUCUUCAAUUUGUUAAUUAAGAUAUAUAUUUAUAACC